rnacentral:rRNA from 1 species
GAUGAACGCUGGCGGCGUGCUUAACACAUGCAAGUCGAACGGAAAGGCUCCUGCUUGCAGGGGUACUCGAGUGGCGAACGGGUGAGUAACACGUGGGUGAUCUGCCCUGCACUUCGGGAUAAGCCUAGGAAACUGGGUCUAAUACCGGAUAGGACGAUGGUUUGGAUGCCAUUGUGGAAAGUUUUUCGGUGUGGGAUGAGCUCGCGGCCUAUCAGCUUGUUGGUGGGGUAAUGGCCUACCAAGGCGUCGACGGGUAGCCGGCCUGAGAGGGUGUACGGCCACAUUGGGACUGAGAUACGGCCCAGACUCCUACGGGAGGCAGCAGUGGGGAAUAUUGCACAAUGGGCGCAAGCCUGAUGCAGCGACGCCGCGUGGGGGAUGACGGCCUUCGGGUUGUAAACUCCUUUCGCUAGGGACGAAGCGCAAGUGACGGUACCUGGAGAAGAAGCACCGGCUAACUACGUG